UACGUAGGGUGCGAGCGUUGUCCGGAAUUACUGGGCGUAAAGAGCUCGUAGGUGGUUUGUCGCGUUGUUCGUGAAAACUCACAGCUCAACUGUGGGCGUGCGGGCGAUACGGGCAGACUGGAGUACUGCAGGGGAGACUGGAAUUCCUGGUGUAGCGGUGAAAUGCGCAGAUAUCAGGAGGAACACCGGUGGCGAAGGCGGUUCUCUGGGCAUGUCCUGACGGCUGAGGAGCGAAAGUGUGGGGAGCGAACAGG
rnacentral:rRNA from 1 species